UUUAAAUCUUUAGACUCUUGGAAUCAAAGCAAGUGGCCAAACUGCAUUCUUCCAUCACAGAAUGCAGGGGCACACCUAAUUGAUGUGUGGUUAUUAUACCUAUUCAUAUUUAAUAAACCGCCCCUAUUUCUGGUUUAUAAGACAGAUUGUCUGUGAGCUAGACAGUUUGAGUUGGGUUACGGAUACCUUCACAUAGGCCUAUAUGAUAUAUACCAGUUUAAAGAGAAUCCUUGAAGAAUUAUUGGACGACUGUGUGUGAAAACGGGAUUUCAAACUUUUUGGAACUUUAACAAGGCUCAACUCGAAUGCCAAGGAACAUGGAAGCUGUUGGAUUUAUCUUCAUUGUCCUAGCCAUAAUAGGUAGCAAUGAAGCAACCACAACGACAUCUGUAGGAUCAACAACAAGAACGACAGGACCAGCAACAACGACUGCAGGACCAACAAUGGCAACUGCUGCACCAACGAUAACAACGGCUGAACCAACGACAACAACUGCUCCACCAAC